rnacentral:rRNA from 1 species
GAUCAUGGCUCAGAACGAACGCUGGUGGCAGGCUUAACACAUGCAAGUUGAGCGGGAUUUGUAUGGUGCUUGCACCAUGUAAUGAGAGUAGCGCACUGGUGAGUAACACGUGGGAACAUACCUUGAAGUGGGGGACAACAGUUGGAAACGACUGCUAAUACCGCAUAAUCCCUGAGGGGGAAAGAUUUAUCGCUUUAAGAUUGGCCCGCGGAAGAUUAGGUAGUUGGUGGGGUAAAGGCCUACCAAG